AUUGAGUUUCUAGGCGCUUCCAAAAAUGAGACCUCGUUUUAAUUGGCUAAGAGACUUCCGGACCUACUAUUAAAUCGAUAUCAAAAAUAAACUCAUGCCCUAUUCAAUCAAAAUCGUUUUACAAAUUUCAGCACGCAAUCGGAUUUGCUUCUUGCCCACAAAUUCGAUGAUUUACAGUCGCUCUUCUUUUGAAUCCAUUUCAAUUUUGUCUAUAAUCAGUCACAGGGGGUGCCACUGGUUUGCGUGUCCAGGCAUUAAACCAUGCUUGGAGCCAUUGCCUCUAAGAAGCUUCAGACUUGAUAGCAUAGAAAGGCCAGGCGGUGAAGUCAAAGAAAGAUCAAGAUUCUUAGGAAUUUGCAAUAAAUGAGCACGUUUUGAAAACAAGGUCUCUAAUUGGUUCAUUGGAAAAUCUAUGGGUAUAAUGAUUGACGUAAUCGGAGUCAAUGAAUAUUCUGGUAGUUGGAAAUAGAUUGUAAAGUGAUGGAGCUCUCGGUCAUAGCCUCGUGUUUAAAACAAAGUUAAUAUUAUGCUGUGACGUCACGGAAGCCUUGGCCGAAUCAAUAGCGACUUAUUCUGUUUGAGGAUGGACAUGAGGGUUCAGCGAGGUCCAGUUCUACAAAGUCAAGUCAAAGAUCUGCAAAGUCAGCGUUGUCAGUAAGAUACAAUUGCCAAAAAGAAACAUGAGAUAAGGUUGCAAUACAAGGUCUGAAGAUUUUCCCUAUUGCUAUGAGGCUGUCGGGCGAUGCAUUAUAGAUUUGUGCAAAUGAACUGAAUGCAUGCAGCUUUUCAGAGGAACAUAUUUUCUCAGAUAUGCAAAGUUUUUAAAAGUAAGAAAUGACUACUCACAGGACUGAAUCGAAAGCAAAAACACUUAGCCAUUUCAACAACAAAAAAAGAAAAGACCUGCAGAAGCUGAAAUGGGAACAGUGCAGAAUGUGUAGAGCAAUGUGUAGAGAAUGUGUAUUUUGUAAGAAAAGUUCUGUCUUUCCCGUUUUCUUGAAGUAGAA